UUUAAUUCAAAAUCGUUUAGAGUGAAGAAAGAAAAUUCAUAUAACCGACUUCAAAUAAAUUUUUGACAUAAAGACUUAGUUGCAUUUGAAUUGAGUUUGAGUUUAACAUAAUAUCAACUUAUUUUGCAAACUAAAUUAACCUGAAAUCAGUUCACCAGCGACAUUUUUGCUAAAAACCAAAAUUGAACAGCAAUUUUCUUUUCUAUUUGUGAGGCUAUACAAUGAGAGUAACUCAUCAAUCCAUUAACCCUCCCAUUUUGACAAAAUGGAGUGCAACACUUCCCUUUCGUCAGGUGUACCGAUGUUUUAUCAUCAGCUAUGAAGGAUUCGAUUUACAAAAAUUGGAACAAUGAGCAAGAAGGUGCAGUUUGAAAUAAAUAAGGAGAAAUAUCUCACAGUUUUGACAGUUUCUUUGAAAACCAUUCUGAUAGACGCUUCAUCUUGUGUGAUAGCACAGCAUUUUUGGCCAAAUAAGAUUGUGCAUUUUCCAUCAUCACAUGUACAUCAUGCUUCACUGCUUCUAUGCUACGGUAAUAGUUGUUUUCUAACCUUGAUCGGAUAAUUUCGGGACACAGAGGAACUGGAAACCUGUUAAAGAAAUCCAACUUCUGAGAAGCUUCAUUCAAUUUUUCAAUUCCAUAAAUAUCCUGAUUUGUGCUCGCUGACUCCUCUAAUUUAUCAAAAGAAAAUAGUAGCUUAUUACUAAUUUUGACAUCAAUAUGAGGGUGCUCCCAUUUCGUCCCAGGAUCAUGCAGUUCCCAAGCACUGUGUCGAUGGUUUUCAAGCGGGUCAGCCUUGUAUCGAAUUAAGUAUCUCUCCCAAGGGCUAUCAGGAAAUUCAUCAGAUUUCGCCUCUAAAGAAAGAAUUCUACCCUCCCACCAACUCCCACCUUCCCCAUUCUCAUUCUUCCACCACACCUGGCAUUUAUCCCUAUGGGUCCAAUUUCUACUGACAGCAGCAUCAUACCUUGUUUUCUCAACAACAAAAUCGGGAAAAUUGAUCAGUUCAGGCAGGGUCAAUUUGAAUGCUUUACCAAAUACACCAGAUGAAGGAUCUAUAAAUCUGAGUAUAACUUUACAGCAGCUAUCCCCAGAACCAGCAGCUGGGGCAUAAUUCAGGCUUUCAACCUUACAAAUUUCCACGGCACCAAGGUAUCCCUUAAUAAAAUUCCAAGGACCUAUUUCUGAUGAGUUUGUUGAUUCAAUAUAUUCUUGAUGGCCCUGUCUCAAAUACACAACUUCAUCGCCUAGCUGAGGGAUAUAACGAUAAUCUUCCUCAUGUUUUGACAAGAUCAGCCAUGACAAUUUCCUUGCAGGUUGACUUGGUUUCCUAGAAAUCAAAGAACUUGAGCAAUUAUCACCUCGCCUGUUUCUAGCAGACCUUGAUCUUACUGCAAUUCUUGAAUUCAUCAACCUUUCUUCAGAUUGGAGCUCAAUACCAUCAUUAUUUGAUGCUCCCAUCAAUUCAUGACCCAAUCUGAACCUUAAAUUAUGGUUCACAUCAUUUUGCUGCCAAGAAGUUGCCUUCAUCUUCAUUGAUCUUGUUCUAUGCAUUGCAUCUGACACAUCUUCUUCCACAAGAUAAUCUAAAUCUUCUAAAUCAGCAAUGCUCUUAUGUGACUUUUCCCUUUCAUGAACAUUGUAUAAAGAAACUGAUCUAACAGAACCUUCACCUUUUCCUGGUACUCCUAAGAGUUGAUUUUGCUCUGAGGGACCUUCAGACAUUAUAUCAACUGCAUCUUGAUGCAAAUCAUCCACAGCUCUCAUAAACUUAAUUUUGGAAGGAGUCCGUAAAUCCCCCAAAGUCCCUUUAGUUCUCAUUUUUAUUUUUGUUAACUUAGGAAGAGGGUUCUCUUUCAGUCCCUCACAAAGGUUUACACCAGCACAUUCUCUUGCUUCCACUGAAUCAAGAUUACUGCAGUCUUUGUCUCCCUCAUCAGAAGCUUCAUCACAAUUGCUGGCAGAAGCACCACAUUUUGAUUGAUGUUCGCCUAGUGAAGAUGACACAAAUGCCAAAGAACUUUGUAUUACACCUGAAGGAACAGGCUCUUCAAUUCUUGCACCAUCUUGAUCCACUUCAAACAGUUCCUCAUCCCCAUUAACAUCAAUCCUUCUCUCCUUGUGUGCAUCAUAACUAGUAUUGACUCCAGUGGAUGCAUUACCUGGCAUUGCAUCUCCUGAUCUUGAAUUCUUGGAAGUACAGAUUUUGAUCUCUCCCCAUCUGAUUUUGCUUCCAUUGUCAUGUGAAGAUCCCUCCAUGUCAUCCUCAACCUUUUCAGGAUUACCUAUACCAGUGACAUGAUUAUUCUGAUUUUGGGACAGAUCCACAUCAAACCAAUGCGAGGAAGAUGACCCUGGAUCUUUGGAGCUUAAAUUGAUUUCAGUUUCUGGAAGAGGCCAGGGACCCAGAUUCAUAUGAUUAACCUGUCUCUUGACAUUGAGCAUUCUGUCUUCUGGAGACACAGGUUUCUUAGAACCCCGAAGUGAAAGCUUCAAGACUAAUUUCUUCCUAUUUCCAGCAUUUGGUUGAGAAUCAGGGAGUUCCUGAGGUUUGACUAUAUUUUCUUCUUUUGUAUAUUUAUCUUGCAUAUUCUGCAAGUAUUUAUCAGAUAUUUUUCUUUGAAUGUUUGAUUCUUGCAGCCCUGAUUCACUGCUGGAUGUAUCAUCUUCCGACUCGUCUUCAACAUCUUCAUCUGUAGAUGUUCCAGUAAUUCUGGAGAACAUAUUUAGAGCAUUGCGCGCUGCAAUACGCUGAGGUCUGGAUGACUUUGCCUUGGAAGACUUUCCCUUAGAGACUUUCCGGCCAUUUUUUAAUUUCUUAGCUCCAUUACUUCCAGAUAUCAAGCCAUCACGCUCAUUCAAAUUCCUCUUCUUGACAUGCCUCCCAAAGGACUCGACCACUUCAAUUCUUUGUUUUGUUCUUCUUGACCUGCGAGGGCCAUCUUUCUGACUAUGUUCAAUGUCACUGUCCUCCAUACUACAAUCUGGAUCAAUGGCAGAGCUGUAACACAUGCUACCUUGUUCUCCUUCACUGGUGCAUUCCUCUGCAACAUUAUACUCCGAGUCAGCAUCAUCACUUAUGACUUCAUUUUCAGGCUCCCAGUAAAUGGCAUCUAUGAACUCUGGUAGUGGCUCAAUCAUUCUAUCCAAAUCUUCCAAAGGAGGCAUUUGAUAAUCCAGGCCCAAAUUGAAAUCUAUACCAACAGCAAAUUUUAUGGAUGGAGGAUGCCAUUCAAUACCAAGUGCACCGAGUCGACGUUUCUGGAACAUGGUCUGAUAAGGUUCCGGGUAUGGAAUCAUACUGGAAUCACAAAUAGGAUCUUGAAUGUUCCUUCGAUGUGGAGGGAGCUGUGUCUCCUGAUCAAGAACAUUUCCAGCAGAAUCCCGGAUAAGGGGCCGAUAGUCCCCAAGGAAGAACUGAUCAUAUUUGGCAUCCUUCUGGGACUCCCCUUGGCCUGUGUUCAGUAAAUGUAUCUGGCCAACAUCAUCUGAAAGAACUAUUGAUGUUCCAUCCGGCGAAAACUUCCCAUCAACCAACUUGAAACGUCCAAGUCCAAUUUCAUAUGUGCGAAUAGGAAUGCCCUCCCAUAUAUCCCAGACUAUUGUUCUUCCGUCAUAUCCAGCACUCAUAGCUAUCCGAGGGUUGAAAGGAUGAACAUCUAAAACAUAAGAAGAUGCAGUGUGACCAGUCAAAGAAUGUACCAAGCUACUAUCAGCAGCAUUCCAAACACAUAUUCUGCAAUCCAUUAUAGCUGCAAGCACAAAGCGAUUAUCCAAGCUCCACACAAUCAUAUUAACACCACGAGGAGUAGGAAGAAUCCUUUGACGCGGACCUCCUCGGGAAGGUUGAGGAGGCAAUGGGGGCGGUGGAACUUUCAGAUGAUAUGACUUAGUCCAACGUCCACAUUUUCCAUGGGAUCUGCGCGAUCUAGGACUCCAUAUAAUUGCGCUACCAUCACGAGAACAAGUGACUAUGUUAUCAUGACAGAACCAGGAAUUUUUGAAUUUGGGAACAUUCUCCUCCUUCAAAGUGUCAGACAAUGAAGAUCUUGAAGCCACAGCACAGCCACUGAACUGAACAUAAUUGACAUCAUUUUCAUGCCCAGAUAAUACAUCCAUCUCAUGAAUUGGUUGUUCUGACUCAUCUGUAGUAGAUUUAAAGGCACUCCAAACCCUUGCAUAAGUAUCAGAGCUACCAGUCACAAAGACAGUUCCAUUGGCAUUGUAAGCACAACAUAAUAUCUGAUUGCUCUGUGAACCAUUGCUUGAGGAGGAUCCAUUACUAAAUGGACCAUUGUUCUUACCUGCAGAAAAUUUCUGAUUUACCAAGCUUGUUCAUAUCUGCAGUAUAAUUAUGUCUAACCAACCAGUUGUAUGGGCAAACAUCUAACCAGAAAUAGCAUCGGAAGGUUUUGGCACAUAAAUUCGUGGACUGCACUGGGAAUAUCUAGCAUCCCAGAUUCGACAAGUUCCAUCAUCCGAUGACCUACAAAUUUUGCAGAUUAACUAACAACACAGAUUUCUGACAAGGGAAAUGCUUUAGAUAAGAAAGUGCUUAUAAAAUUUUGACAUGAACAAAGAUUGCAUCUGACAUGUCAUCGUGUAAGUAUAUGAUAUAUUUCAAAUAAAGCCACAUCAUCUCAUGACGCACACACAUUGAGACAAUUCCAAGCAAUUGACUCAUGAAAUUUGCAUUCGGCACUAUUAAUAAAAAGAUUUGUUAUUUUUUUAUCUUAUAUUUAUCUGCCAUUAUAUAAUUGAUAUGCUACAGCCACAGAGAGAUCAAAUCCAUUGGUAAGAUUCAUUAGUAUAUACAAUGUUGCACCAAAAAUAAACCAUACUUGUGCCACCUAGCCACGUGUUGAUUGAAAAUCCACAACCAUGACAUUGUGAAAAGUAACAAACAUCAUAUGACAUAUUAUCAUGAAAAUCAAAUCCGAAAUGAUGCAUAAAUAAAACUUAACUUUCCAGCUGUAAAAUGGACACAGCAAAUCAACUGAAUAAAUAGAAGUAAUAACCAAAGAAACAGAGCUCACGAUAAAAGUUGGUAGACAGAGCUAGGCCUGGGACUAAAUGCAAUGGCAGUAACAGCUCCAGUGUGCCCUCGCAAUACUGAUAUUGGCAACCCAUCAGGCAAGCGCCAUACUCGGAUGACGAAAUCAUUAGAAGCAGAAGCCACUAAAGCAUUGUUUGAACUUACAGCCAAGUCAGUAAUGUCACCUUCAUGCCCUCGGCAGCUUGCUAAGCAAAAUGCAGUUUCCAUGGACCAAAUCUUGACGAGACGAUCAUCCGAGCCAGUAAUCACAUACCUACCUAAGCGAUCAAAUAUAGCACAAUAGACUGCAUCACGAUGUCCCCUCAACUUCUUUAUGUUUUGCAUCUUUUGCACCAUGGUCAAUGGCUUAGCAAUAGCAUAGCAUGCAGAGCGAAUGGAUGAAGCACGAUGGUGCUUUGUAAAACCUCCACCAAUUUCCCUUAAACCUAAACCAUGCACCUGAUCAGCCUGCAUAUGAGGCCAACGCAGGUGCACAGGCGGAGACUUAGCUUGCUUAUUCAUACUCCUAAAACAAUCCAGAAGCGAAAAGGAGCCAGAUCCCAGUAAAGUAGGAACAUCAGCUGCAUUUGGAGGAUGUACUCCAGGCUUGUCAGGCACAGGAGGGGCUAUAUGCUGUAGCAGUUGCUUCAGAAGCUUCACCAAAUGAUCCUUCUCAAUAUGAGGAUACCUGUCCACCAAUUUAUUAUAACUCAAUGGAAGAGAGACACCAUCAUCAUCAUCAUUUCCGCUACAUGCACCACUUCUUGAAAACCAUGCAUGAUAUCUUCUAGGUAGAAGCUCAUGCUCUAAAAGCUCAUUCCAAAAGUGUCCAAAACUCUUUUGGCAAGGCCCAGAAGAAAGAAAAAGCAAAAUCAGGAAGUAAACUUCUCUAAGGUCUACAUCUACAUCAGUCCUCUGUUGUUGUUCAAUCUGGGACUUCUCCACCGCAUUAUUAGAAGUACUUAAAGGUGCCUUACUAAUAGAAGAUGCACACUUCCAGAAGUCCAUUUUUUGGUACAAUCUCAAAUAGAAUAUGCUUAGAUAAAGAAACGCCGAGCUCCUUCCACUCAGAGCAGUGGUGCAGAGAGAUUGAGAGCUGGCAGAAAUUGAAAAGAAAAAUGAUUACUGGAAAUCUAAAAAAAAAAAGUAGGAUUUUUUCGAUUCGGAUGUGGAAGGUGAAGUUGAAGAAUAUUAAAGUAGGACAAAAACAAGGUUUCACUUUACAUUUUUGAAAUUUGGUUGUUGUUGGUUUUCUUUCCUGUGCAGGGAAGGAGAGAAAAUGAAAUGAACAACGAAAUGGAGGG
rnacentral:misc_RNA from 1 species